AAAAGUGUGGCCUCAGAAAAGUUAAGUUUUACUCCACGCAGUAACCACAGUUGUCUUCUUGUAGAUUCGCAAUGAGGAUUUAUGUUGGGCAGUACACCUCAGGAAGGAAAAAAAUGAAAGACAAAAGAACCAUGAAAGUGACACAAAAGAGUGAAUAAUUAGGAACAAUUCAACUGAUGCAGGCAGCCCAGGGCAGUUAAUAUGGUCGGAUUAACCUUCUUCCGCGAAACAUUGAUAUCUUGGCAUGGUUUCCAUCACAUUGGUCAGCGCAUGUUCGAGAUUGAAAAUAUUUAUAUAAGGAAACAUCAAGGCACAUUCUGUAAGAAGAAGUUUUAACAAUUUAUAAUGUUGUAUAUUUGUAAUAUUGGCGGA